GAUGAACGCUGGCGGCGUGCCUAAUACAUGCAAGUCGAGCGAACAGACGAGGAGCUUGCUCCUCUGACGUUAGCGGCGGACGGGUGAGUAACACGUGGGUAACCUACCUAUAAGACUGGGAUAACUUCGGGAAACCGGAGCUAAUACCGGAUAAUAUAUUGAACCGCAUGGUUCAAUAGUGAAAGACGGUUUUGCUGUCACUUAUAGAUGGAUCCGCGCCGCAUUAGCUAGCUGGUAAGGUAACGGCUUACCAAGGCAACGAUGCGUAGCCGACCUGAGAGGGUGAUCGGCCACACUGGAACUGAGACACGGUCCAGACUCCUACGGGAGGCAGCAGUAGGGAAUCUUCCGCAAUGGGCGAAAGCCUGACGGAGCAACGCCGCGUGAGUGAUGAAGGUCUUCGGAUCGUAAAACUCUGUUAUUAGGGAAGAACAAAUGUGUAAGUAACUAUGCACGUCUUGACGGUACCUAAUCAGAAAGCCACGGCUAACUACGUG
rnacentral:rRNA from 1 species